rnacentral:lncRNA from 1 species
ACUUGCUCUUUUCUGUUGAAUUUUAUUAAGCGAAAAUUUCAUUUUUUUCUCAAUAUUUACCAGUUGAAAGCCCUCUUUGUUAUAUGUUGCAUCGCAGAGAUUACACAUGCAUGGAGGGAGAAAGUUUUCAUUUGAAACACGAAAACUUUUCUUUUGCAAAGAAGGGAGGAAAGUUGCAAGAGCUUUCUGCUAAACUUGAUGAAGUUCGUAAGUCCUUUUUUGAAAUUUGUUUAAUUACACGUAAUACAUUUCAAUUCCCAUUAUUAGUUUUAUUCAUGUUUAGGCUUGAUAUUUUUUGUUUUAUUUUAUUUUUGACAGAAGGGUUGAUUUUUUCCAGGCGAAUUAUUUUGCCCUCCAUAUUAUUUUAAAAUAAUAGAAAAUAACGUUUUAUUACUUGCACAAUGCCCUUUUUCACAUGCAUUGAGUGUGCUUCUGUGGCUAGUAUAUAUAAUACACGAGCUUAUGAUAUUAUGCUUUAUCAUUUGAAAAGUACAUCUGUUUGUUAGUUGGCUUAGUUCAGUUCAUUCUGUAUUGUAAUUAGAAAAUAUCACCCAUUGUAAUGCAUGUAAACUAUUUGAUGAAAGACCCAUGAGAAAUAAACUUAUCUUGUUUUAUUAUAAACCUGUGUUUGGUUCUGGUAGGCCGUGGGAAAAAUGCUUUACUGAAAUUGUAAUAAAAUCUUUCAUAAAAAUGUUAUAAGAUUGAAAAGAUAUACUGAUAAUGAUUGGUGUUGCAACAAUGAUACUCAAUGAGCGCUGGACUAGCUCUUCUACACUUGAAGAAUGCUAAUUUUAUGAUAAACAAGCUAUGUACCUAAUACCGUAGAACCCAACACAAAAAAGUUCCAUGAUGUACAUGUGUUGCUGGUGCACCCUCUCUCGGGAAACGAAAAGCAGUCGUUGCAACCGAUGCUUUUACCAUUUUUGCAUAUUGUGGUUGCACAGGUAAUGGGAGGGUAGGUUGGUAAAUUUUAGUCAUAGCAGUUGAACCAUGUGUGUUGAGCGCUGAGAUCUUGCACUAGGCUAAUGAGGGUGUCGACGCUUGGAAUUUCGAUUCGUAAAUGUCGUUUCUAUUUCGCUAUGUCGAUUAAUUUAUUUAAAGGGUGAGAUUUUAAGAAAAGACCGACAUGAAUGUCGACGAAUUUGAAAGAAAUGAUUUUAAUGAUUAAGCCAAUUUAGACAGAGCCGCCGGUUAGUAUAAGUUUAAAUGGAUGUACCAACUCAUCCGGAUUUUUAAGGUUUUCGCAAUAUGGCCCAAUAUGUGAAUUCGUUUAAUUUGGUCUGGAACCUGUGAUUCAAAGAUUUCGGAGGCUUGAUUAAGCGAGGGAAAGGUGUUAGGCACCCCCCGAUUUCCGUGAAAAUACGGUUACCGCAUCUUAUUGAUUUCUUAAGCAUAAAGUGUGUGUGUGAUUUUGAGAAAGCUUUUAUUUGAUUCGUGAUUAGGUGCCUUUAUUUUAAAGUCUAUUCUAAGCCUCAUUUUUGAGUUAUUGGAAAAUAAUGUUGUACCUUUUUGGACCUAUGCACGAAGGAUUUGAUUUGAAGAAAAUUUUCUUCUAUUUAUUCAUCCUAAGUAAAUCUAUCUCAACCCGCUUUAUUUUUAUGAAAGCUCUUUGCGGUUUUGAUUUGAAAAUCGUUUUAGGUGAUAAUGCGCUAAAAAGGUCGGAUCAUCAUCGGGCAUGAAAGCCAUCUUGAUAGAUUCGAACAACCACAAUCACAAAUUUCAAUUAUCACGGGAUCUUAAAUCCGACUUCUCGGGAUGAACCCCUCAAACUCGUUUUAAGAUCCAUUAUUACAUGUACAACGAUUUUACAUUAUUUAAACAUUACAUUGGAAACUAAAAGUCCAUCGUGGGAAUCUAGUUGAGAUCCGGUUGUUAGAUCUCAACCUCGGGAUUCCUAGGCUCACAUUAGUGUACUUAAAUAUAUAUACAAUAAAUCCUAAACUCGGUGUUAGGAGAUUCAUCGGUUGAAAAUCCUAUCACGAGCCAUUACGACCUCCUCACCUCUAGAUAUAGAUCUAGGGCUCUACGGAUUGACCAGGACUGACCAAAACCAUUUAAAUGAUCAGAUCUACCAUAGUCGAUCUAGCAUAUGGGUUAGAGCUUCAAGCUUCAUAACCGGUUAAAGUGCUAGAUUCGUCUAGAUCUAGGUAGAUCUAGUCCAAGGACUUGAUUUCUAACAAUAUAUAUACAAUAUAAUCGAUAAAAUCUCUAGAUCUACUAACUAAUACACAAUAUAAAUUCAAAAUUGUUGGGUAUUGAAUAUUUAAAUUUGAUGUUGAAAGUAAAUAAUCAUACUUAUAUGUAAAGUCCUUCAAAGAACAUAUGUACAAGGACUUAGAUGAUAGAUCAAAAUUGUUAAGUUGAUCUGUGCUUUAUGUUUAUCAUUCAAUAAAUGAAUGUAUAGAAGAAAAAAUCAAAGCUGUUAGGUUGAUCUAUUUUGAGAUGUAAUAGAUAGGCUUCAAAAGAAUCGUAGUCUGUCAAGAAAGUUGCUACAAAAUCGUUGUUUGCUUUGGAGGUCCUCCAUUUCAAAUCAGCUUUUUUGUGGUUUGAUAAUGGCUCAUAAUUAAUCUGUGUAAAAUAUUGUGUUAACUGUGAAGUCUUCUGUAGUGUAGUAUCAUAUGUUAAUUUUUAUUUUUUUUGUGUGCAUGAGUAUUUUCUAUCCGUUUGUGUUUUUGUUUUUUUGGUGAGCAUGAAUAUAUCUAUCUGUGUGUUAACUUAUUUAGUAUUUAGUUUAUUCCUUAUUUUCUUUUCUUUUAGCUGUUUUUUAAUCUCUAUUAAAUAAGAUUUGCAUUUAAUUCUGAAAUGAAGAAUAGUUCAAUCCAUUAAAAAUUACGUAAAUGUGAUAUUCUUCUUCUUCUAUUUUUUUAUUAGUAUUAUUAUUAUUUGUUUUGUUUUGUUUGUGCGUGUUUCAACUAUCAAUGUUUUUUGAAGAAGUUUAUUUAUCUUGCAAAUGUGUUUUUUUUUUCAGUGUUCUUAGAGUUCAUGGGGUGACAGGAUCCAACCGAAGGUGCUUGUAGAUGUUCCACUGGCCCCCAAACUAUUGACUCUUGACAAGAAGGUGGAAAGCAAUCCAACUUUUUGUCUCUAUAUAUAAUUGUAAAACCCAAAAAAUAAAGAAGUUACAAAGAAAAGGACAUCUAGAAACUUGUUCUGUGCCAUUUGGCCCCUUUCACAGAUAUCACUUUCAUGUGCUCCUACAUUAUUCAGUUUUCUGAUGAAUGUUCUUGUUUCUUGUUAUGAAUUCUCAGAAACCUAUUUGAUUGAAGUAUAUUUAGUCUCCAAAAUGUCCCACAUUGAUCCGGAAUUCAUUCCGUAAAGGCUUAGAGGUCUGUUG